rnacentral:rRNA from 1 species
GCGUGCUUAACACAUGCAAGUCGAACGAACCUUCGGGUUAGUGGCGGACGGGUGAGUAACGCGUGGGAAUCUGCCCUCAGGAGGGGGAUAACGGUUGGAAACGACCGCUAAUACCCCAUAUGCCGAGAGGUGAAAUGAAUUUCGCCUGAGGAUGAGCCCGCGUCUGAUUAGCUUGUUGGUGAGGUAAUGGCUCACCAAGGCAUCGAUCAGUAGCUGGUCUGAGAGGAUGAUCAGCCACACUGGGACUGAGACACGGCCCAGACUCCUACGGGAGGCAGCAGUGGGGAAUUUUCCGCAAUGGGCGAAAGCCUGACGGAGCAACGCCGCGUGAGGGACGAAGGCCUCUGGGCUGUAAACCUCUUUUCUCAAGGAAGAAGAUAUGACGGUACUUGAGGAAUAAGCCACGGCUAAUUCCGUGCCAGCAGCCGCGGUAAUACGGGAGUGGCAAGCGUUAUCCGGAAUUAUUGGGCGUAAAGCGUCCGCAGGCGGCCUUUCAAGUCUGCUGUUAAAGCGUGGAGCUUAACUCCAUCAUGGCAGUGGAAACUGAUUGGCUUGAGUAUGGUAGGGGCAGAGGGAAUUCCCGGUGUAGCGGUGAAAUGCGUAGAUAUCGGGAAGAACACCAGUGGCGAAGGCGCUCUGCUGGGCCAUUACUGACGCUCAUGGACGAAAGCCAGGGGAGCGAAAGGGAUUAGAUACCCCUGUAGUCCUGGCCGUAAACGAUGAACACUAGGUGUCGGGGGAAUCGACCCCUUCGGUGUCGUAGCUAACGCGUUAAGUG